rnacentral:tRNA from 1 species
CGAGGUGUAGCUCAGCUUGGUAGAGCACCUGCUUUGGGAGCAGGGGGCCCGCGGUUCGAGUCCGCGCACCUCGA